rnacentral:snRNA from 1 species
GUCGCUUCGGAGACAUCCGAUAAAAUUGGAAAGAUACAGAGAAGAUUAGCAUGCCCCCCGCGCAAGGAUGACACGCACAAGUCGAGAAUUGGUCCAAAUUUUA